UUCAACAGCCAUAUCACCCUGCAGCCCUAGACUAGUUGCCUAUUGAAGCUAAGCAGGGUUGAGCCUGGUCAGUGCCUGGAUGGGAGACCUCCUGAAAAAACUAGGUAGCUGUUGGAA
ensembl:rRNA 5S_rRNA 5S ribosomal RNA